GCAAGUGUAGUAUAGUGGUUUAAGUGUGACUAGGACUCCCGGAGGCCAGGGUUCAAAUCCCUGCUCAAUCA